rnacentral:rRNA from 1 species
GAUGAACGCUGGCGGCGUGCUUAACACAUGCAAGUCGAACGAAGCAUUUGCGACAGAUUUUUUCGGAGUGAAGUUGCUUAUGACUGAGUGGCGGACGGGUGAGUAACGCGUGGGUAACCUGCCUUGUACUGGGGGAUAGCAGCUGGAAACGGCUGGUAAUACCGCAUAAGCGCACAAUGUUGCAUGACAUGGUGUGAAGAACUCCGGUGGUAUAAGAUGGACCCGCGUCUGAUUAGCUAGUUGGUGAGAUAACAGCCCACCAAGGCGACGAUCAGUAGCCGACCUGAGAGGGUGACCGGCCACAUUGGGACUGAGACACGGCCCAGACUCCUACGGGAGGCAGCAGUGGGGAAUAUUGCACAAUGGAGGAAACUCUGAUGCAGCGACGCCGCGUGAGUGAAGAAGUAAUUCGUUAUGUAAAGCUCUAUCAGCAGGGAAGAUAGUGACGGUACCUGACUAAGAAGCUCCGGCUAAAUACGUG